GCAGUCCUGCCCGCCGCACUCACUGCUACCGUGAGCAGGGCAACAGCGACCGGGUGACAAACCUGGACGUGCUUGUAGGAUGCUGAUAACCUCCUCAGUUCUUUUCCCAUCAUUCAGGUCCAGGUUAAUACCUAUGUUAAUACCAAGGAGAAAGGGAGCUACAUCUCUGGCUGGUGCCUCUGCUGGAAAAAAGAGAGCGAGGUUGGAAACCAGGCUCCUCUAAAGAAGAUAAGUCUCCAAAAGUAUUUGUAUUGUGCCACAGGUUUCUAAGAGGGUGCCAUUUUCCUGUGCAUCACUGUUCUUUUUAAACUUCCCAGGAAAACAAGUGCAGUGCCUCACUGGAGCUGGCAGCCUCUACCUUGCACAAAGAUGUAUUUCCUGAUGAUGAGAGAAAGAUACGUGAGCUGUUACUCUUCUCUGCACAGGGUUGUUUUUGUGUUUGUUUGUUUGGGGUUUUUUAAUCCCACCGAGGGAAGAGGACCAAAAAAGGAGGAGUAUUCACAUCUAUCUGUUUUCUUUCUUGGCUACCCAUUUGAGUAAUAGUUUGAAAAUUGCCAAUGUUCAAUUAGAGUUACCCUUUCCAAACAGAUGGCUAAUUAAAUGUUAAUAGCAUGAACAGGCAAAAUGUUUUAAACACCAUAAACCCCACAAAUGUGUGAGACAUUUUGAAUGCUAUAGCUGAGAGGUGAGGUAAAGCCAGAGCAAUCUAGAUGAGAGGACAUCAUGGUCAAUAAGAUCAAAGCUCUUGAAUUUCUCUGGCAUCUAAUGAAUUCCAACAGCAUUAUUAUUUUUUUUAAUCAGUCAAAACUCUCUUACAGUAGGAAUGACUUUGACAUGCCAUGGUCCACCUGCCAUUCAGUGUCAAGCACCUACAGCCAAAGACCUGGAAAAUUACAAUGGCUGUUUCCUAACCCAUACCUGCAAAUGAUUUUCAGAAGCUACAGAGGCACAGCAGCUGCUUGCUGGGAGAGAACACGAAUCUUCUCGUGGCAAUCCUGUAGGAGCAGGGAGAAGAGGAGGGGAAAAGAAGGAAGUCAUUCCAGUGCUACUGACGUCACAUGUUCACCCCUUGUGUGGGAGGGAGAAACAUCCAUGGGUGCUGCACUGGACAGCAUAUAAAUGAGACACAGCUUGGACUGCAGUAUCUCAUAGACCACUGUAUUAAAACUAGAUUUUCUUUA